ACAAUGUAAAAAACAUCAUAGCAUUUAAAACAUCUAGAAUAUCCAAGCACAGUAGACAUAGUGACUAAGUUCAGACCACAGCCCUCCUUCAUGCUGUGCCAUCAUUCAAUAACAUUAUUACGGGGGGGUAAA